rnacentral:rRNA from 1 species
UGGGGAAUAUUGCACAAUGGAGGAAACUCUGAUGCAGCGACGCCGCGUGAGUGAAGAAGUAUUUCGGUAUGUAAAGCUCUAUCAGCAGGGAAGACAGUGACGGUACCUGACUAAGAAGCACCGGCUAACUCCGUGCCAGCAGCCGCGGUAAUACGGAGGGUGCAAGCGUUAAUCGGAAUAACUGGGCGUAAAGGGCAUGCAGGCGGUUAUGCAAGCAGGAUGUGAAACCCCCGGGCUUAACCUGGGAACUGCAUUCUGAACUACAUGACUAGAGUAUUGCAGGGGGAGACGGAAUUCCAGGUGUAGCGGUGGAAUGCGUAGAUAUCUGGAAGAACACCAAAGGCGAAGGCAGUCUCCUGGGCAAAUACUGACGCUCAUAUGCGAAAGCGUGGGUAGCAAACAGGAUUAGAUACCCUGGUA